CCGGGCACUUGGUGCUUUGCAGUACCAGUGCCACAACAGGGUAGGGUCUGGAUGUACACCAAACCCUUCUGCCUCCUUACCUCCACAGUGAACCACCUCUGCUACCCUCUGUCCCUGGGAUCUUCCCCAUAUGUUCUUCCUCAGUUUAACUGAUGAGCAGCCCAUGACAUUUUGGCUCGAGAUCGAGCAGAAGCCAAUGUCCACCAGCAGCAAUCAGACUGUUGCAUUUAUUGCUGCUAUCCACUCGACAUUUAGCAUCGCAUUUUCUGAAAGAUGCUCCUGGCCUCAGUCCCUCUAUGUGAACUGAAUCAUUGCAUGUACCCUGCAGGAAACAUGCCCUGCUCUUGCCUCUCCAGCAAACGCUCCUAUUCAGCCCCCCCGAAAACUGUUUGUUAACCAGGCAAUACUGGAGAGGGUUUAGGCACAGAGGGAGCAGAGUUAAACCAACUUCAAGCGUGGGCUUUAGUUCUGGAGCUGCAGUGUAAUCCACACUUAGCUUCCCUGGGGUGCAGACUUCAUGCCCUGGGAGAAUAAUAAACCGCCCCCUAGGGCUGAAUCUCUGGCUGAUGGCUGGAAUUUGAGGAAAUCCUGUGAGUUUGUAAUCUUAGGCUGCUUUUCCUGGGCAGUUUAUUCCUUUAAAUAGAAAGGCUUAAAUGAGAUUGACUCCUACAAUCCUUCUGCUCCGGGCUAGCCUGUAAUCUUUAGCGACCAGCAGUGGGCAUUUGCUCUGCAUCACACAUCCUUCCUGCCUCUCCUGAGAGUGGAAAUCAAGGCUUAGGUGGUCUCACCUUGUGCCUGCUUGUCCCAUCUUAUGGAGCUGGUGACCAAUUUCAGGCAGGCUCGAUGGGCAAUAGCAGUCUUUAAACUUUGUGAAACUGGAUGUGCAGAGAGAAGAUCUAACUGCCGCAUGGGGGAAAGGCUGGAACAGGAGUACAACCCAACCCUUAUGAGGUACUAGAGAAUCCACAUGGCAGAGAGUCUCUAUGGCCUAAUUAGCUGAGAUGGGGCAACAGCACCUUACCAGAAACCCACAGCUCUUGGUAGGACUGAGAUGGGAUCUAGGCUUUCCAUGGGACCCGUGACAAGAACCAGCAUCCAACCAAGAGCUGCAGGCCCUGGACAGACAGCUUUCCUCUUUCUGAAGCACAGACAAAGCCUAAGUCAUUCAGCUUCUCUUAUUCCUUCUGGCUGGUCCUCCCAUUCCCUGUGCAGACUCACAGGCUCCAUGCAUCACAUCUCUUUCUUAACACACAGUGAGAAACAGUUGUGGACUGAUGGGGGAGAGCAACCCAGAACGCUGAGUCUCAAAACCUAUUUAUUUUAUCUCUAGCUUCCUCCCAUUCAUCUAGCUCAUUUCUGGACUGUGUUCUUGGGAAGUCUAUCCUUGUGGCUGUGCCACAGGGGUCAGGGGAGUGGAAGUGGUGCUGGGGGAUAGGGACAACUGCUGGCAUAUCUUUGCUGGAGCAAUGGGCACAUCAGUGCCAAGUGCAGCCACAGGCAUCAGCCAUGCAAACACUGUCCUGUUAAACUUCCAGUGCUCACCUGGGCUUUCUUGCUUCCUAGCCUAGGUUAAUUCAGUUGUACCGUGCCCCUCACUGUAAAAAUAUUCCAAGGACCUCCAAAAACAUUAAUAAACCCAUGAUGGAAUAUGAAUAUCGUUGAAAGGAGGGUUAGAGAUGGGUAAAUCUGGAGGCUUCAUCCCCAGGUAACACUUUGGAAUUUUUAAUUGGGUUAUUAAUUCAGACGAGCUUUAAUUCCAGUAUAAUUAAUGGAGUAAUUUGGCAGGCAUGAGAGCCAAAGGCAAAAAGGUCUCUAAGUGGCUAGAAAUCACUCUGCUGAAGAAAUCCUCAUGGGAUAGCUAGUGCAGCAGUCCAGGUCCACCUCAGAAGGAGGGCAAUCAGGUAGCACCGUCCAGAGGGAUGUGCUGGCUCCAGGUGUGACUGUGGGUCGGCAGGGAAAGGGACCUGCCGUAGCUGGUCUGCUACGUGUGUCUGGGCCUCCCCAAGGUUUCUCCUGGGCUGUCUGAGUCCCACAUGAGACGGGAUGGGAGCAGCACUUGUGGACCAGAAGAAGGGUGAUGGGCCCAUUGCUAGAGCUCCCCAGCUCUGUGGCCCCUGGCCAUGGCUCAGGACCUAACAGAGCAGAGAAGAGGCCAGGCGUUGCAUUACAUAUUAGUGAGAUACAGGCCUGGCUGGGGGGAAACUUCAGAUUGGGUGUACCUCUCUGAGACUUGGUAGGGCACCACUUUUGGGGCAAAAUGCUGCACCAGCAUGCCCAACCAUGCUCUGUCCUUCCUGUAUGCUAAAGGUGUCCCUUUAUCUGCAUAAGAAGUGCAUCAGGAACCUCAGCAGACCCUUAGAUUGCAACCGCGCAAGGAUACCAGGAUGCAUUGUACCCUCAUCACGGGAUCUUUCAGGUGAACUAUCUGGGAUGCUUUCUAAAGCUUUUUGGUUUGGUAUGGAAGGGAACACCUUGUUCGUCUACUCUGACUUGUAUAUGAUGCAGGUCAGAGAGCAUUGUCUCCCACAACUUGCAAUAGCAUGAAUGGAUGUCUUUUUCAGGAUAAGCAUUUACAAAUCCAUUUUAUGACCAUUUACUUUGCAGAUCUCCAAGGGAGAAGCCCACUUGUCCCUGAUAGGCAAAUACAGGUUUCUCCAUAAUUUUCUAGUAGGAUGUGUAGUGGGCGGUCACAGACUUGAGAGCUUGGCUGCCUUUUCAGUGAUGCUGUUUGCUGCAGAAAUCAUUUAUUUUUAUCCUUGUAAGGAAUAAUUUUCUCUUGACGUCUGUGCUGAAAUCUUUGUGUUUAUGAUAAUACAGCCAAGCUCCCUAUUUUUACAAGGUCUGUACUACCACUCUCUCUUGUCCAUGAUGCAAGACACCAACCCUGACUUUACCCAUCCUCUUCUUCACCUCUGCAAAUCCUUCGUCCUAAACCUACCCAUGGGCCUUCUCCUCAGCUAGAAGAGCAAGUCCCAGAGGGCAGGUCCUAUACUGGAGCUGGUGCAGGAGCUGCUGCCCUGCUCACAAAUGUGUUACUGCAUGCCAGCUGAUGGCUGGUGACUUAUUCUCAUGCUGGGCAGCCCCAUCAGUUGGGAUAUACAUGUAAUUGGAAGAAGAGCUUUCUGAAAACAAAUUGCUAUUAAUGAAACCCAUUGAGCUGUCAUAAACCUGUCAGUACCUUCCAGAGUUUCUUCUGGCAGGGUCACCAUGAAGCUAUCGCUUCAUGAGGAAAGGUUAUUGCCUGACCCUGCCUCCACCUCAAUCCCUUCAGAUGAUCCAUGGCUCCUCAUGCAAGAGGUGCUGGGCUAUCCCUAACCUGUGGCUGCCCUUGCAGACAUGUCCUGGGACAUGCAGAGGAACUUCUCUUGGUUGCUCUGUCAUACCAGGUCUAGGGAGUUCUCCACCACGCAGGCAGCGUAGUCGAGGAGAAACGAGUCCAAAAAGCUGGGUCUGGAUUUAAAGGUGAGAUUCAUGGUGGAGGCAGGUUCUCUACGUCAGGUGCCCUUGCUGACACCCCCAACAUACCCCUGAAAAACAUCUGUCCAACCGAGGACUGCACAGAGUGCACCAGAUGGCACUUUAAACACCUGUCCCCUAAUCUCCUUCUCUUUCUUUCCAGGUGCUUGCUGGCUGUAGGGAUGCUCCUCACAACCACCCUAAAAGAGGAGUCCUGGUUAUUUCUAUCAAGCCCUUGAUCUCCUCUUUCCAUUCAGCUAUAAAACAAGAGAAAUGAACACCUAGGUGUGUUCAUUUGACAAUGUCAUUUGACAAUGACAGGUACCAGAAACACAGCGCGAAGGACCUUCCACUCUGCGGGUACGGUGCGAGCUCAUCUGGAUCACAGGAAAACCAGAUAUUCCUCCACAAGAAGCUCUCCCUUCAUCCUAUCCAAGAGUUAGCUAUUUGCUCUCUCGCCUGUGGUCUCCAUUUUCUUCACCCUCUCCUCCUCCUGAAGAACAGGCAGCCAGAGGCUGUGAUGGGCCCUUGCAGAUAAAGCCCCUGUUACGGGGUCACUGAACAGGGACCUGAACACCCCACGUCUUUGUCCGAGAAGACUCCAGGAUGGAGAUAAUCAGCAAACUGAUGUUCCCUUUUGCCUCGCUGAAUAAGACAUGCUUUGUUCAGGAAUACAGGUCGGGUUUGUGGCAGAGCAGCUUGCAGGAGAUUUUAUUUCAGCUACCUGCAAAGAAGCUAUGAGAAGAAUGUAGUAGGUUCCUCUCGGUCUGGAGGAACGGAGAGAUACUAACCCCAGGUAUUGUUUAAUAUUAACUGGACCGGUGCACAUCUAUGAAAGGUUUGAUUGUGUGUCUAUCUAUGUUUAUAUACAAACAUCACCUCCAAAGUCGUAUUAACGUGGCUGAAGCCUUGCACGGGCUGGGACAGGUGAAAGUCCUCCCAGAGUUAGCUGCAUUGAUGAUCGUUUUUGCCAAUAAGGACCGAUUUCUGUGUUGGCACCGGAAAUUAAAGUUGUAAGCCUGUGCUCGGUGCUGUGCAGGUGCAGAACAAAGAGAUAACAGAAACGCCUGUGGUUAAUGUUUUAGAUAAGAGAAACCGAGAGGCCAGCCGGCAGGGAGGGUAAGGAAACAAUGAAACCCUGUUUGCAUGGGGACGCCAGGGAACGGCUCUCUCCGGACGUCUGUGGGUUUCGCGCCUGGCCGGUCCCCUGAGACAUAGCUAUUACAAGCUCCCAGGCUCACCGCCCUGCAUCUGCCCCAGUGGCAAAACCCACCUGGGUUUCAACACAAGCAAGAUUUGGCCUUCAUACUCAUCCUCUCUCCUUCUUUACAGCUCCUCGGCCCAGAUGUUAUCAGCGGCACCUUUGGUGAAGCUCCUUCCCACAAGGGCAGAGAAAUGCUGGCUCACAAGAUGACAUACAUCUUUUGCUGCUGUUUCAGCCACAUUUGUUUAUUAGGUAGACCUUAUCCAGGAUCUAGAAUACUUUAAUACGUGCAGUCAUUUUGACUCAUUAAUUUGGAGAUAGCUUUGCCUACGUGUCCUGAAGUUCUCACAACGUAUCUAAGCUCUGUCUGGCAGAGGGUGGAUAGCUAUUCCCACCUACAGUUAAAUACACAUUUCAAAAAGCAGACAUAGGUUUAAAAUAAUCCCGUUUGCCAUAGAUUAUAUAUUUAGGGCUGGACUUUCCCUCCUUAAACUACUUUCACUCAGGGAAUCGCCUGAAACUGAGGAAGAUGCUGGUGAAUGGUUUCCAAAAAGGACAGAAAAGGACCCUUGGGUUGGUCAGCAGUGCCUAGAUGUUCCCUUCCAGAAGCAAAAAACUACAUAAUGGUCUUAAUUCGUAUCUUCUGGGGUAUGAUUCAUACAUCUUGUAGUAUGUAGCUUCCCUGCUCCUCUUGUCCUGCUGUGUCCUUCUGACUCUCAAGAGCAGCGAGCAGAAUAGCAGGGCUGAAGGCCCAUCCCAUCUGUACACUUAUUAUCUGCGUGAUGCUGGUUUGUUUGGAGAGAAGGGAGGAAAGGAGGUAUAACUUCCUCCUCAGUACAGGGUGGAAGCAGACAGACAGGUCUUGUAAAAGCCACGUAUCACAUCCUAGCUGAGAGCUCCACUGGCUGGGUCAGUCUGCUAAGUUGGUCUGGUUUUCUGUCUACAUGAGAAGGUAUUUUGCUCCUUCGAAUGUCUUCAUGGGGAAGGCCAGAUGUACUCUUUCUACUAACAACAGGUGGCUGUACUCAGCAUGCAUGUGUUUUGUGAUCCAGACCAGCUGCAGACCUCAGAGGGACGGGGAGGGAGAUGUCUGAUCUAGCUCCCUGCCCCUCAGUCGAGCUGGAAAUGGAGCCAUUAGUCCAGUCUUAGAUCCAGUUAUUUAUUUUACUGCUCUGCUAAUUGAAUGCAAUUAUGAACGUCUCUGGCACCCACAGAGCUUUGGUAUUGAAGGACGAUGUGAGAGGCAAUAGGGAGUUCUUACUAAUAUGUGUCUAUUUUUUUUCCUGUAACAGACCUGGAUUUAUCCCGUCUCUAACUGAGAGUAGCAGCUGGCGGUUAUAGAUGGGUUCAUUACUUCUAAUAGUGUGUACUUAAUAAGUCAACAAAUAAAAGUUUUAAAGGAGACCACUUGGGAUACAGGACUGAGACUCUCCAUCAACUCAUUUGUAGAUUCCCUUUACAGCAAUGGGUGUCAUAGUCAACUAAAGUAUCUGCACAACAAGAUCAUACACCACUUCCAACUUCACCUCCACUAAAACCUACAGGAGGCUGUGGACGAGCUAGUGAGACCCAUGUUUCUCUGGCCAAGUCCUUCAAAGGGCUAGGGUGGAAGUCCAGGAGCUGUCUGCAUGAACGCAUUGCUAUAGGGCAACGUCCUUUAAGGCUUCAGGGAAAACGGAGGGCAGAAGGCACUCUUCCUCCUGCAAAAUCUUGAUGGAGACAGAGAUCUCUCAGCUUGCCUUUGGACCAACAUCAGCACAAAGAGCACUCUGGACAAGGGAACAACAAGACAUGGUCCCACACCUUCUACUGUAUCUGGGCCUAUUUCCUCUGAUGCUUUUUGUAUUUGCCCUGUCAAUUUUUGGGCUUGCUUGUUUCUCACUGGUAAGAAACCAUCCGGCUCUUCUCUCCCUACAGAAGAUCUUGCAAAGACAAGCUGUACCUUGCUACUCUUCCCUGUCUCUGCCCCCAAAGAAGAAGGGUUUUUCUCUCAUUGCCUGUCCCUCUGCUCCUCUCCGUAUGCAAAACAAGCUGGCUGAGAUCCAGGUACCUCUCAGGUCCCAGGGGAGAAACUUGCCAUCUCCACCUGUACAUGUCCACCACGUGAAACUCAAACCAUCUCCUAGAAGCUUCAUUCAGGAAGGAGCUGGUUGGCAAAGAAGCCUGCACUGCAUUUUGGGUCAUUUGCUGGGAAAGGUCAUACUUUGCUCCUGAGGAACUGAUUGAUAGCUCAGCAUUGAGCUUGUGCAACUAGGAAUUACGUGUGUCCCUGGUCGGCUUUACACCGAGCUGGAAUACAGCAGCUGACUUGGCAGGGAGAUCAGUGCAUGAUAGCCAGGAGCACGCUCAAACGCAGGCUAACCUUUGCCCAGGUGUACUCCGCUCACCUGUUCGGGGACUAGGCAACACCUUUCACAGAUAGGAAAGAUGAGUAGAUACCUCAUGUGACCUGCCUCAUAAUAUACCUUAUGCAAUACCCUACAUUUAUUUAUAUAAUAUUCUAUAUUGAAAUAUUGUCCCUGCAGCAGAGGAGCAUCUGGUUUGAGGUAAAGGCAUCAAACGGGGAGAAUUCUGCCUUCGUUCCUCACUUUCCUUGGUAGUUUCUUCUCACAGCUAAAAAAAAUGCUCAUUCAUCUUCUCAACUGACUUUGUUGUUGACUUCCAGCUGCUUGGUCUUUGUGAAGAUGUGCUCAGGGCUAAUUUUGUGCUGAAUGGCACGCCGCAAAGUUGAGGCAUUUUUAUUCUAGUGGUGGGGAAAGGAGGGCAGGGAGCUGACUGCAAUUCUCUCUUCCACACCAUGCCAGGACAAAAUCAGUCCUAUUUUUCAUGAAUACGUGGACCAUCAAUAUCGUCACAGUUCGUCCCCCACGCUGGGAGUCUUCAGUGCAGCAAUUAGAGGCGACUGAGCCGGAGCAGGGCAUCCAGGACCCAAUUUACUGGCAGACCUGCAGUGAUAACCCAUACUAGUGACUUUCCUCCUAUUUAAGUACAUCCAUCUUACCUCCAGCUGAAAGAGUUGCGGGGCUGCUGGUUAACCUACUGCCGAACACAGUUAUUGUGCAAACAGCGAAGUGUUCCCUGACUGAGCAGUCUAGCGAUAUCUUUGUCUCCAGUUGCUGGGUAACAUCAAACACUCGCAUACUCUCAGUCAACGAUCUCUUCGGGGCUCGUGAUCCAACCAUUGCCACCACUGCGGGAACGGAUACCUUCUGCGGGCUUGUCGAGGCAGAUCGACGAAGACGAAGGCAUGAAGGAGAGGCUGCAAAACACAGGACAUAACAGCAAAGUGUCUCUGCAAACGCUCCCUGCCAGUGUUAUCACGGUCAAAUAGUGGCAGCUAAGGGCACGCUUGCAGCCAGCGCUCUCCUUACACUUAUUAUUGGUGCAAAGGCCGAAGGAAGAAGCACCUGAAUGAAAAUAUCUGCAGCACAAACACAGGAAAACGCAGACCUCCCCCCUGUUUGUCCUGCAUUCCCUGAGUAUUUGCACGAGCAAAACAAUAGCAUGGCCCUUACUGCGCUUCCUUCCCCUUCCCACGGCUCUCCCGUCAGUCGCGGGCCGCUGCGGUGGGGAUUUACCUCCAGCCGGCCUCGUAUGCACGGACAGACAGACAGACAGGCAUGCACAGUGUCUUGGCUCUUUUCCUGCCCGAGGUCUUAUAGAUAAAUUCAGUCUUGCCUCUUUUGGGCCUCGUUUUUUAAUUCUGGAGAUCGCCAGAUCUCCAGUUUUGUAUUUCCCUGCUAGAAAGGAGAGAGAAAAAAAUAAAAAAAACCCUUCUCGACCAAGCUUUCCCAUCCAUGCGUAUAUAAUAAAAUGCUUACAGGAUUGGGUGCAAAAUCUGUCCAUGCCAAUAGGCUAAAACUUGGCCCUGGUUUCAAUCGUUGGCACCGAGCAGGGUCUUACUGGAAAGUGCAGGCAGCUGAAAAUGUGAUCGUGUGCUGUGGGUGUCAGCAGGGCAAAAGUGUUUUUUAAGACCGUUACAGGUGCCCCAUUUUGAAAUAAAUGUGCCUGGGGAUAUAGGUACGAGCACAUUAUAAACACUAGCCAUGCCAAAGGGAGAUAUUUAAAAUAGCUUUGAGCAUUAUUCAAGGCUAAAUUACACGUUGGCGUAGGAUAAGGAACUUUGAAAUCUGAAAAUACUUCCCCGGUCCAAAAUUUUGUCUUUUUUUUUCCUAAAAAAAAUUCAGAUGAAAUUUCCUUCCAUUGGCCACCCUGCGACUUUUUUUUUGACAUUGCACGGCCUCCAGCCGCAGAAGUGCUGACAGCAGGGGGAAAGACGGUCUCUCGGCUCACCGUUCCCCUUUUCACAGCUGCUCAGAGAGAAAACUCUUUCUCAGCCCCGCGUCCCUGGGCAGGAGUAUGCUCGGUGCGAAGGCUGUGUCGGAUUCAACUGGCAAAGUUGGAAAAAAAAAAAAAAAACAGAAAAUGUGCAAACUGAGAUUUUUCCCCCCCCCCCGAGGCAUUUUACUCAGCUACUUUUGAGCAGACGUAUGCAGGGAUGGUAAAAAGCAAAUUAUUGGCUGACAUUAAGGGCAGCUGCAACAUUUCUGGAAUCUCAAGAGUUAUAAGAGUGUUUUCUAGCAGAGCCAAAACAAAGUAUUUUUGCCCUUAAUCUGACAAAGGGCUGGACUAUUUUUGCUGAAAUUAAAAAGAGAUCAUCACUAGGCAGAGACCCAAGCAUGUAAAAUUUCAUCCUGGUUGUUUAAAGUCUGGCAGAGUCACAAGCACCUACGGUCAUGACUUUGUUAUGUGUCUCUAAAUACCUGCUUCUCCUGCUUGCGCUCCCGUCCUUGUAGCAGCAGGAAAAAAAAAAAUCAAAAAAGGGUCCUAAAGCGCUUAAAUGAACCCGGCCACCAGGAGGCAAAUAAAAUGCACCCACAGGAUAUACUUUCAUCAGAGCGUGAGUUAAUCAUAGCUUUGAGGGUCUUGCGAUUUUGAAAUGCUUGCAGUCGGCAGCGCUGCAAGGAAAAGUAUAUAGCAAACAGCUACCUUGCUAUAACGGUGUCUUCUGCUGUAACGUGACUCUGUGUCUCCUCUGCUGAAGCUGGGGAUCGUCUCUUUGGAUCAGGCUUUACAUUUUGGUUUUUUGAUUCUGUUCUGCUCCAGCUUUUUCUGUCCCUGUAAAGACGAGUCUGGUAUCUGCCUCA